GUGCCUAAUACAUGCAAGUAGAACGCUGAAGACUUUAGCUUGCUAAAGUUGGAAGAGUUGCGAACGGGUGAGUAACGCGUAGGUAACCUGCCUACUAGCGGGGGAUAACUAUUGGAAACGAUAGCUAAUACCGCAUAACAGCAUUUAACACAUGUUAGAUGCUUGAAAGGAGCAAUUGCUUCACUAGUAGAUGGACCUGCGUUGUAUUAGCUAGUUGGUGAGGUAACGGCUCACCAAGGCGACGAUACAUAGCCGACCUGAGAGGGUGAUCGGCCACACUGGGACUGAGACACGGCCCAGACUCCUACGGGAGGCAGCAGUAGGGAAUCUUCGGCAAUGGGGGCAACCCUGACCGAGCAACGCCGCGUGAGUGAAGAAGGUUUUCGGAUCGUAAAGCUCUGUUGUAAGAGAAGAACGUGUGUGAGAGUGGAAAGUUCACACAGUGACGGUAACUUACCAGAAAGGGACGGCUAACUACGUGCCAGCAGCCGCGGUAAUACGUAGGUCCCGAGCGUUGUCCGGAUUUAUUGGGCGUAAAGCGAGCGCAGGCGGUUUAAUAAGUCUGAAGUUAAAGGCAGUGGCUUAACCAUUGUUCGCUUUGGAAACUGUUAGACUUGAGUGCAGAAGGGGAGAGUGGAAUCCAUGUGUAGCGGUGAA
rnacentral:rRNA from 1 species